GACGUAGGGCGCGAGCGUUGUCCGGAUUUAUUGGGCGUAAAGAGCUCGUAGGCGGCUUGUCGCGUCGUCCGUGAAAACCUGUGGCUCAACUGCAGGCUUGCGGUCGAUACGGGCAGGCUGGAGUUCGGUAGGGGAGACUGGAAUUCCCGGUGUAGCGGUGGAAUGCGUAGAGAUCGGGAAGAACAUCAGUGGCGAAGGCGGCCUGCUGGGCUGUUGCUGACGCUGAGGCGCGACAGCGUGGGGAGCAAACAGG
rnacentral:rRNA from 1 species